rnacentral:rRNA from 1 species
ACGAACGCUGGCGGCGUGCUUAACACAUGCAAGUCGAACGGAAAGGCCCUGCUUUUGUGGGGUGCUCGAGUGGCGAACGGGUGAGUAACACGUGAGUAACCUGCCCUUGACUUUGGGAUAACUUCAGGAAACUGGGGCCAAUACCGGAUAGGAGCUCCUGCUGCAUGGUGGGGGUUGGAAAGUUUCGGCGGUUGGGGAUGGACUUGCGGCUUAUCAGCUUGUUGGUGGGGUAGUGGCUUACCAAGGCUUUGACGGGUAGCCGGCCUGAGAGGGUGACCGGCCACAUUGGGACUGAGAUACGGCCCAGACUCCUACGGGAGGCAGCAGUGGGGAAUAUUGCACAAUGGGCGGAAGCCUGAUGCAGCAACGCCGCGUGCGGGAUGACGGCCUUCGGGUUGUAAACCGCUUUCGCCUGUGACGAAGCGUGAGUGACGGUAAUGGGUAAAGAAGCACCGGCUAACUACGUG